AUGGCUAGGGGCAAGAUUGUGAUUAGGAGGAUUGAGAAGAUGAGCAGCAGGCAGGUCACCUUCUCCAAGCGGCGUCGUGGCCUGCUGAAGAAGGCACGUGAGCUGGCCAUCCUCUGCGAUGUCCAGGUCGGCGUCAUCGUCUUCUCCUCCACCGGUCGCCUCUACGAGUAUGCCAGCUCCACCACCAGCGCCUCCACGGGAAUGCCUUCCAUCAUCCAUAAGUACCAAUCUGCACAGGAGCACCAGCAGCUGCUGAAUCCAGUGUCACAAAUCAUGUUUUGGGAAGGGGAAGUACGGAAAUUACAGCAGGAAAUGCAGAUGCUUCAAGAACAUCAUCGGACUCUAAUGGGGGAGAGAUUAUCAAAUUUAGGAGUCAACGACUUGUGUUUAUUGGAAAAUCAACUGGAGAAGAGCUUACGUUGUAUCAGAGAGAAGAAGAAUAUUCAACUCUCCGAGGAAAUAAAGCUUAUCCAUGAACGGAACUUGGAAAUAAAGAACAAGCUGGAGAAGAAAGAAAGCAGCAACAGGGAGAAUCAGUUGAUCCAGCUUUGUCCACUCAUUCCAGAACACCUGAAGUACCCAAAUGACAAUGUUCCUGCCACGCCCACCUCAAUACGUAGGGCUACAAUUAUUAUGGGCUUCCAAAUCACGACCAACAGAUUCUUCCCAAGUGUCUGA
rnacentral:rRNA from 1 species